rnacentral:rRNA from 1 species
CCUACGGGUGGCAGCAGUAGGGAAUAUUGCUCAAUGGGGGAAACCCUGAAGCAGCAAAGCCGCGUGGAGGAUGAAGGUUUUAGGAGUGGAAAACCCUUUUGGUAGAGAAGAAAAUGACGGUACCUAACGAAUAAGCACCGGCUAACGCAGUGCCAGCAGCAGCGGUCAUACGGAGGGUGCAAGCGUUACUCGGAAUCACUUGGCGUAAAGAGCGCGUAGGUGGGAUUGCAAGUCCGAUGUGAAAUCCUAUGGCUUAACCCUAGAACUGCAGUUGAAACUGUUAUUCUAGAGUAUGGGAGAGGUAGGUGGAAUUCUUGGUGUAGCGGUGAAAUCCGUAGAGAUCACGAGGAAUACUCAUUGCGAAGGCGGCCUGCUAGAACAUAACUGACGCUGAUGCGCGAAAGCGUGGGGAGCAAACAGGAUUAGAUACCCUAGUAGUC